rnacentral:lncRNA from 1 species
UUUUAGAGGUGGUUAAAAGAGAGAAAAUCGGAAUUCGACAAAGUUCUUCCGAGACUGUGGAAAAUCUGUAUCGAAGUCCUAAUUUCAGCGAAUUGUUUUAGGGGACAAACGGCCUCCGAUAGUAAUGCAUAUUACCUCUUUGGAAUUUUCCAUGAGUGUAGAAUGUUAGGUAAAAAUUUCAUAAAAUUUGGAGUUUGAAAAGUUGAUCAAACCCGGGAUGAAGUGACCGGCUGUCGGUACGGGUUACUGUUCAUCCGGGAGGGGAAAAUAAGGGAUUUCA